UUUCCGUAGGUGAACCUGCGGAAGGAUCAUUAAUGAGUUGUCAUGGGGUUCGAUGCUGGCAGCCAAUUUUUGGAUGCAUGUGCUUGCCCUAACAAUCAUCUUCCAAACACCUGUGCACAUUUUCGAGGGAGUCUUGAGUUGGUUGCCGCUCUUGGGUGAUUUUCUCACAUUCCCUUAAAUCAUUAUACGCUAUUAACAAUGUUGAACGUGCUCUGUGCCGCAAGGCUAUUAAUAUAAUACAACUUUUAACAACGGAUCUCUUGGCUCUC
rnacentral:misc_RNA from 1 species